CCUGGCCCUGCAGAUACGGGUCUUCAGGUUCUUCAGAAGGUGGCAAAGAGGAUAGAGCCUAUUGCCUCAGUCAGUGUAUCUAUCAAUGAACAUCUGAAUGAUUAGUAACCUAACAUU
rnacentral:snoRNA from 1 species